GCUCGAGUGGCGAACGGGUGAGUAACACGUGAGUAGCCUGCCCUUGACUUUGGGAUAACUUCAGGAAACUGGGGCUAAUACCGGAUAGGAGCUCCCGCUGCAUGGUGGGGGUUGGAAAGUUUCGGCGGUUGGGGAUGGACUCGCGGCUUAUCAGCUUGUUGGUGGGGUAGUGGCUUACCAAGGCUUUGACGGGUAGCCGGCCUGAGAGGGUGACCGGCCACAUUGGGACUGAGAUACGGCCCAG
rnacentral:rRNA from 1 species